AGAGUGGUCAUUUGUCU
rnacentral:miRNA from 1 species